GAUGGCCACCUCCUGGUGGUAAGUCUCGCUCCUGGAGUUCCCAUCUUGACCCUACAGCGGGACAUUUUGCCGCCACCUCUUUGUGUGUUGGGAAGAUGACGUCCUUUCUGCUCGUCCUGCUUCUCUGAUUGAUCUGUGUCUCUGGAGAUCCCUUUGCUCAGCCAUCAGAUCAAGCAGGCAUCCAUGGUUCAGAAUGCAGGUGAUGACCUGGGCAAGAGCUCACCAGUAAGGAGCAAAGGGGCCCGCCUGCCACUCUUAAGCAGAGCGCCUGCUGAAUCAGGAUUUCCAAGGCUCCGGCUGAGUGCCUGGCUGGGGGCUGUGUGUGCAGAUGCCACAAGAUGGACAAGACUGAGGACGCAGAUGAGGAAACUGAAGCAACUGUUCAAGAAGAGGAUAUAAAAAGGGACAGGCAUUGAUGAUGAUAUCAGAGCUUCUUCCUGGGGAAUCUCAGCCUCACAUGAUGGAGUAUGACUAAAGGAAAAAAAUAAGGCUCUUCACAUACUUUCUUGGCAGUCUGUGAGGGUCAGGGUUGAUUUUGUGUCCCUAAAAUGUCACAUGAAGUUCAUAGGCACUUCCAAAGGGGCAGUCUAGCAAGUUAAAGAGUAGAUGUGGGGCUGUGUGGAGUCCAUUGUUUGGGUAAUCUUUUUCAAACAGUAGGAAUAUACCAGCUUGUAAAGAUUUGCCCACUUAGCUUCAAGUCUCUCUGAACACAUUUCCCCCCGCUCUAUGAAUAGAUGAAGACAUACAAAUGGAACUCUUGAUAUUCUUAAGUGAAAAACAUGAUAUGGAAUAGCAGAUAAAUACAAACAAUUUCUUAUCCAGCAAAGAGCUCCAGAAAUAUUUUGACUUCAUUUAAAACAGUUAUAUAAAUAUUUGCUGGUGGAAUUUUUUUCUAAACCAAAUACCCUGAAGGAUUUUAGUUGUCUAUCUACAACUUUUUGCUUGUGGAAAAUGUUGACUUCCUGGUUACUUUGACUUGUGUUCACCUGAAAUUUUGCUUUUG
rnacentral:lncRNA from 1 species